rnacentral:rRNA from 1 species
GCUCAGUAACACGUGGCCAACCUACCCUUAGGACUGGGAUAACCUUGGGAAACUGAGGAUAAUACCGGAUAGGCAAUUAUUCCUGUAAUGGUUUUUUGUUUAAAUGUUUUUUCGCCUAAGGAUGGGUCUGCGGCCGAUUAGGUAGUUGGUUAGGUAAUGGCUUACCAAGCCGUUGAUCGGUACGGGUUGUGAGAGCAAGAGCCCGGAGAUGGAACCUGAGACAAGGUUCCAGGCCCUACGGGGUGCAGCAGGCGCGAAACCUCCGCAAUGUGAGAAAUCGCGACGGGGGGAUCCCAAGUGCCAUUCUUAACGGGAUGGCUUUUCAUUAGUGUAAAGAGCUUUUGGAAUAAGAGCUGGGCAAGACCGGUGCCAGCCGCCGCGGUAACACCGGCAGCUCUAGUGGUAGCAAUUUUUAUUGGGCCUAAAGCGUCCGUAGCCGGUUUAAUAAGUCUCUGGUGAAAUCCUGUAGCUUAACUGUGGGAAUUGCUGGAGAUACUAUUAGACUUGAGAUCGGGAGAGGUUAGAGGUACUCCCAGGGUAGAGGUGAAAUUCUGUAAUCCUGGGAGGACCGCCUGUUGCGAAGGCGUCUAACUGGAACGAUUCUGACGGUGAGGGACGAAAGUUAGGGGCGCGAACCGGAUUAGAUACCCGGGUAGUCCUAACUGUAAACGAUGCGGACUUGGUGUUGGGGUGGCUUUGAGCUGCUCCAGUGCCGAAGGGAAGCUGUUAAGUCCGCCGCCUGGGAAGUACGGUCGCAAGACUGAAACUUAAAGGAAUUGGCGGGGGAGCAC